rnacentral:rRNA from 1 species
AAUAGCCUAACGGCUGAACCAGCAACUUGGAAGAAUGUAUAGCAAUAGCUGAUUGCACCAACAAACAGUUGAUGCAAAAUUGAUUAUAUCAAAUAAAAUUCUAGGUAGAUUUUUGAUAAUGACAUUGCUUACCUAAGUCUUGACCAAAUUACGUGCCAGCAGUCGCGGUAAUACGUAAAAGACUAGUGUUAUUCAUCUUUAAUUGGUUUAAAGGGUACCUAGACAGCGAAUAAAGCCAUAGUAGGGACUAAUUCGCUAGAGUUACUUAUGAGGGGGUAUUAAAGUACUGCAGGUGUAGAGAUGAAAUUUUGUUAUACCUCUUUUCGUAUGAGAAACUAUGGCACAGGUAUAGGUGAAAGCAUCCCCUUAUGUGAUAACUGACGUUGAGGGACGAAGGCUUUUUGUCGCGAACAGGAUUAGAUACCCCAGUAGUCAAAGCAGAAAAUGAUGAAUGUCAUAGAUUAGAUAUACAAUUUAUUCUAUAAAUGAAAGUGUAAGCAUUCCACCUCAAGAGUAAUUUGGCAACAUUGGAACUGAAAUCAUUAGACCGUUUCUGAAACCAGUAGUGAAGUAUGUUGUUUAAUUUGAUGAUACGCAAAAAACCUUACCACAAUUUGAAUAUUUAUACUUAUCUUUUAUUGAUUUUUACUAACAUAUAUGUAAAUUAUUAAAAUGAUGCUUAAAUCUCGUUUGUGAGAUUGAGUAUGAAAAAAGAUAAUAUAUUUACAAGCGUUGCACGGCUGUCUUCAGUUAAUGUCGUGAGAUUUUGGUUAGUUCCAUUAAAUUAACGUAAACCCUUACUUUAUUUUUAUAUAAAGUAGUUCUCCGCUAUAUUGGAUAUGAUAACAGGGACUAAGACAAGUCAUCAUGGCCUGAAUAUUGUGGGCUAUAGACGUGCCACAUAAACCUUACAAAAGGAUGUGAAAUUGUGAAAUUGAGCUAAUCCUCCAAAAAUGGAUAAACAUUUAAU